CUGAGAUCAGCGGCGGACGGGUGAGUAACACGUGGGUAACCUGCCUGUAAGACUGGGAUAACUCCGGGAAACCGGGGCUAAUACCGGAUAACUCAGUUCCUCGCAUGAGGAACGGUUGAAAGGUGGCUUUUUGCUACCACUUACAGAUGGACCCGCGGCGCAUUAGCUAGUUGGUGAGGUAACGGCUCACCAAGGCGACGAUGCGUAGCCGACCUGAGAGGGUGAUCGGCCACACUGGGACUGAGACACGGCCCAGACUCCUACGGGAGGCAGCAGUGGGGAAUCUUCCGCAAUGGACGAAAGUCUGACGGAGCAACGCCGCGUGAGUGAUGAAGGUUUUCGGAUCGUAAAACUCUGUUGUCAGGGAAGAACAAGUACCAGAGUAACUGCUGGUACCUUGACGGUACCUAACCAGAAAGCCACGGCUAACUACG
rnacentral:rRNA from 1 species